AGUGAACGCUGGCGGUAGGCCUAACACAUGCAAGUCGAACGGUAGCACAGUAAGAGCUUGCUCUUACGGGUGGCGAGUGGCGGACGGGUGAGGAAUACAUCGGAAUCUACUUUUUCGUGGGGGAUAACGUAGGGAAACUUACGCUAAUACCGCAUACGACCUACGGGUGAAAGCAGGGGAUCUUCGGACCUUGCGCGAUUGAAUGAGCCGAUGUCGGAUUAGCUAGUUGGCGGGGUAAAGGCCCACCAAGGCGACGAUCCGUAGCUGGUCUGAGAGGAUGAUCAGCCACACUGGAACUGAGGCACGGUCCAGACUCCUACGGGAGGCAGCAGUGGGGAAUAUUGGACAAUGGGCGCAAGCCUGAUCCAGCCAUACCGCGUGGGUGAAGAAGGCCUUCGGGUUGUAAAGCCCUUUUGUUGGGAAAGAAAAGCAGCAGGUUAAUACCCCGCUGUUCUGACGGUACCCAAAGAAUAAGCACCGGCUAACUUCGUG
rnacentral:rRNA from 1 species